GACGAACGCUGGCGGCGUGCUUAACACAUGCAAGUCGAGCGGUAAGGCCCUUUCGGGGUACGACGAGCGGCGAACGGGUGAGUAACACGUGGGUGACCUGCCCUCAGCUCUGGGAUAAGCCUGGGAAACCGGGUCUAAUACUGGAUAUGACUCCAUGACGCAUGUUGUGGGGUGGAAAGCCUUGUGCGGCUGAGGAUGGGCCCGCGGCCUAUCAGCUUGUUGGUGGGGUGAGGCCUACCAAGGCGACGACGGGUAGCCGGCCUGAGAGGCGACCGGCCACACUGGGACUGAGACACGGCCCAGACUCCUACGGGAGGCAGCAGUGGGGAAUCUUGCGCAAUGGGCGAAAGCCUGACGCAGCGACGCCGCGUGA
rnacentral:rRNA from 1 species